AAAAUUUAAAUUUAUAAUACUAAAAUAGUAGGUAAUUAUUUAUUGAAACUUAAAUAAUUUGGCGGUAUUUUAGUUCAUUUAGAGGAAUCUGUUUAAUAAUUGAUAUUCCACGAAUAAAUUUACUUAAUUUAUAAUUUUAUAUAUCGUUGUUGUAAAAAUAUUUUUUAAUAAAAUUAAUAUUUAAAAAUUAACAUUAAAAUUUAAAUCAGAUCAAGAUGUAGGUUAUAAUUAAGAAUAUAAUGGGUUACAAUAAAUUUAUUUAAACGAAUAUUAAUUUGUAAUUACUAAUUGAAGGUGGAUUUAAAUGUAAUUUUAUUUAAUUUGAUAAAAUGAUUAAAAAUUAAAAUAUGC
rnacentral:rRNA from 1 species